rnacentral:rRNA from 1 species
GACGAACGCUGGCGGCGUGCUUAACACAUGCAAGUCGUACGGUAAGGCCCUUUCGGGGGUACACGAGUGGCGAACGGGUGAGUAACACGUGAGUAACCUGCCCACAACUUUGGGAUAACGCUAGGAAACUGGUGCUAAUACUGGAUAUGUGCUCCUGCUGCAUGGUGGGGGUUGGAAAGCUCCGGCGGUUGUGGAUGGACUCGCGGCCUAUCAGCUUGUUGGUGGGGUAGUGGCCUACCAAGGCGGCGACGGGUAGCCGGCCUGAGAGGGUGACCGGCCACAUUGGGGCUGAGAUACGGCCCAGACUCCUACGGGAGGCAGCAGUGGGGAAUAUUGCACAAUGGGCGCAAGCCUGAUGCAGCAACGCCGCGUGCGGGAUGACGGCCUUCGGGUUGUAAACCGCUUUCAGCAGGGACGAAGCUUGUUGUGACGGUACCUGCAGAAGAAGCACCGGCUAACUACGUG